AGGUCCUGCCUGCCUGUGAUAUAUAUUUAACGGCCGCGGUAUUUUGACCGUGCAAAGGUAGCGCAAUCACUUGUCCUUUAAAUGAAGACCUGUAUGAAUGGCACGACGAGGGCUUAACUGUCUCCUUUUUCCAAUCAAUGAAAUUGAUCUUCCCGUGCAGAAGCGGGAAUACAACCAUAAGACGAGAAGACCCUAUGGAGCUUUAAACAAAAAUAGAUCUUGUUAAACAUAUCUUAAUUAAAGAAGUGAACCGAAAGAAUCCUAUCAUUNAUGUUUUUGGUUGGGGCGACCGCGGGGAAACAAACAACCCCCAUGUGGACUAAGAAAACAUUUCUCACAAUAAAGAGCCACAGCUCUAAUUAACAGAAUUUCUGACCUANUAGAUCCGGCAAUGCCGAUCAACGGACCGAGUUACCCUAGGGAUAACAGCGCAAUCCUCUUUAAGAGUUCAUAUCGACAAGAGGGUUUACGACCUCGAUGUUGGAUCAGGACACCCUAAUGGUGCAGCAGCUAUUAAGGG
rnacentral:rRNA from 1 species